AGGUGAUAGAAAAGAAACCUGGCGCGAUAGAGAUCUUGUACCGUAAGGGAAAGGUGAAAUAAUAAUGAAAAACUCAAGCAAUAAAUAGCAAAGAUCAGCCCUUGUACCUUUUGCAUCAUGAUCUAGCAAGAAUAACCAAGCAAAAUGAACUUAAGCCUGUCACCCCGAAACCCAAGCGAGCUACUUACAAGCAGCUACCCUUGAGCGAACCCAUCUCUGUGGCAAAAGAGUGGGAUGACUUGCCAGUAGCGGUGAAAAGCCAACCGAGCUGGGUGAUAGCUGGUUGCCUGUGAAAUGAAUCUAAGUUCCCUCUUAAUUUUCCUCCACGGACCAUCUAGUCUAACCCCCAUGAAGUAAAUCAAGAGCAAUUUAGAGGAGGUACAGCUCCUUUAAGAAAGAACACAAUCUCUCAUAGAGGAUAAAUAUCAGCCAUUCCCUUGACUGUGGGCCUUCAAACAGCCAUCCAAAAAGAAACAGCCAUCAAAAAAGAAUGUGUCAAAGCUCUGUAAUGAAAAAAAUCUAAAAAUAGAACGACUCCCUUUACUACUAACAGGCCAGCCUAUUAACCAUAGGAGAAUUAAUGCUAAAAUGAGAAACUAAGGAUUAUCCCCUCUCAGGCGCACGCUUACACACCUGUUAUUAACAGACUAAUCAAUACCUCAAUACCAACAAGCUUAAAUAUUGAUACACCUGUUAACCUGCCUCAGGAGCGCCCAUCAGAAAGAUUAACAUCUGUAAAAGGAACUAGGCAAACCCAAGGCCCGACUGUUUACCAAAAACAUAGCCUUCAGCAGACCAAGUAUUGAAGGUGAUGCCUGCCCAGUGACCCAAUGUUUAACGGCCGCGGUAUCCUAACCAUGCGAAGGUAGCGCAAUCAAUUGUCCCAUAAAUCGAGACUUGUAUAAAAGGCUAAACGAGGUCUUAACUGUUUCUUACAGAUGAUCAGUGAAAUCGAUCUCCCUGUGCAAAAGCAGGGAUAAACUCAUGAGACGAGAAGACCCUGCGGAACUUAAAAUUCAGCUGCCACCCCUCACAAACUCAAACCUACCAGGCACACCCUCACUAAAACGCUGGUAUGCAUUUUUUCAGUUGGGGCGGAGACGAGAAGACCCUGCGGAACUUAAAAUUCAGCUGCCACCCCUCACAAACUCAAACCUACCAGGCACACCCUCACUAAAACGCUGGUAUGCAUUUUUUCAGUUGGGGCGACCUUGGAGAAAAACAAACCCUCCAAAAAUAAGACCAUACUUCUUAACCGAGAGCAACCUCUCAACGUACUAAUAGUAACCAGACCCAAUAUAAUUGAUUAAUGGACCAAGCUAGCUACCCCAGGGAUAACAGCGCAAUUUCCUCCAAGAGCUCGUAUCGACAAGGAGGUUUACGACCUCGAUGUUGGAUCAGGACAUCCUAAUGGUGCAGCCGCUAUUAAGGGUUCGUUUGUUCAAUGAUUAACAGUCCUACGUGAUCUGAGUUCAGACCGGAGCAAUCCAGGUCAGUUUGUAUCUGUGUUAAACUUUCCCUAGUAUGAAAGGACCGGGAAAAUGAGGCCAAUACCAAAAGCACGCCUCCCCUUGUAAGUAAUGACCCCAACUUAACUACCAAAAGGACUACCCACUUAUUACCUCU
rfam:Opisthocomus hoazin contig61966, whole genome shotgun sequence.